AGUGCUGGCGCAAGUCGUCUUGCGCCAGGCGACUGGGUCUGAGGAGGCAGGAGUUAUUCAUUCCCUUAAGCUUUCAGGCCGGGGGGAGAAUCUUUCAGGUGGUAGCUGCAAGAACUCUUAGUAUGUUGACCUCACCUCUGCCUUCCACAUACCACUACCAGUGAGGAAUUAGGAAUGCAUGAGAAGAGUGUCCAAGAAGAGUGUCCUCAUUCAUGCAAGGCUUAAGAGAGAAUGCAGGUCAACAUCACCAUGUCAAUCAGAGGUGCAGAUGCUGAGAGCACUUUCUAGUCAAGUCCUGCAUGUUCAUUUCUGUCUCAAGUCAGCUUCUCUGAGAAUCCAAUUUAUAAAAAUAUAUUUGUGAAUGUAUAAGUAAAGUGACUUGGAUUUUGUCUACGUACAAGGACUUCUAUGCCUGCAUAAAACAGGAAAGAGAUCUUCAUGUAAACAGAGUCCCUCUUAUUGGCUGAAGUGAAGAGUCAUUCUGAGGUUGUUCAAUAUAAAAUUGGAUCAUCUCAAACAUACCUACCGGGAUGUAGAAAGAAAGAUAAGUUUAGAUUUUUUUUAAUAUGAUGUUUUAUCUGUUGGAGUGGGUUAAAUUGCAAUACUCUUUGAGCACAUUCUGUUUUCCUGCUCCUUCAGGAAAUCAUCUGUGGCUCUGCUUCUUGGGUAAUGUAGCCUACUUCAUUGAAAAAAAGAGUAACUCAGUUUUGUUGCUUAUACAUGGGCUUCUGGACUGCUUAUGUGUUUGUGUAUCACACACUCAAUUCAAGGGCUCCCUUUGACUUUCUGCACUGAGCAGAGCAAUUUCAUUCAAAUUUUCAUUCAAAAUUCAAUGUCGUCAUCAGCCACCCAAAUGCAAGGAUGUGAUUUAGGGAUGAGUGAUGUCAGUUAUGAAGAUUUCAAAGUCUAUUUAAAAUUUUCAAGAAUGCUCUGCAUUCCAAUCACACACACUCUAGUCUAAGAAGUUCUGGCCAUUCCUGUCAUGUCAUCUGGUGGAUUUUUAAUAAUAAAAUCCCUUAUCUUUCUGCCCAAGGAUCUGACCUAUUUAGGAGCUUCUGGACUAUUUUCAUCUAGUCCCUUGGCUCAUCAGUUGAUUCAGUAAAUACAUAUUGAGUACUUGCAAUAUCCAAGGCACUGUUCUAGGAUCUGGGGACACAAUGUCCAAGACUGACAAGACGCCGUGAAACUGGCAGUUUAGUGGGAGUUGCCAGGAGAAGAAGCUCUCCAAAGCCCAUGCAAGUGAAAGGUAUUGUAUUGAAAAGUGAUAGGAAGCCAUCAUUGGAAAUGGUAAUUCCUCAUGGUAUUUGGGGCCAGAAACUGCUAUUCUGUUAGGUAUAAACCCACUCUUUAGUGUUCUCUAGGGCCAUGUUGUUUUUGGACUUCUCCUUUUAAUAUGUGUCUGCUGCAGUAUUUUUCUUCUUUCUGAAGAUCAGCAUUUUUUUGAUUCUUCUAUCAAGUGUAUACUUGGCAGAAAACAUCCCCUCCAGCCUUGACUUGAUGUGACCGUGUAGUUCUUGAGCUCAGUGCCAUCUGACUCUUAAGACGACAUUCUUGAGGGAGAAUCAGAUGGGUUGCUGUUGAGUCAGUGGACCCCGCCCUCCUGUGCUAGCUGUUUGUUAUUGGUGCCACGUGCUGCCAUCUGUGAAGUCGAGUCACACACCACAGACAUGGCUGCCAGAGACCAAGGCGGGAGGAUGUUUGCAGGGAAGGCGGCCUGAGAAACACUCCCAAGUGCACCUGCAACCGGAGGACUGUUCAUCUGCAGCUCCAAAUGCAUUGUACAGGCACAGGCUCACUCUUCCCCUUUUUCUCACAGUUGUUUAGAUUGUGGUAUGUUGUGGAAAACAGAUAUGCUGAGCUUCUGGCUCUGUGGUUUCCAGGAUUGAGGAGACAUAAGUAGGGAAGUUGGCCUUUCCUUCUGUCUUGCAUUUUAUUAUAUUUCAUUUUAAGGGGGGCAUUUCUAAAAAAUAUUAACUUUCUCAUAUUACAAAA
ensembl:lncRNA LINC01524 long intergenic non-protein coding RNA 1524